UGGGGAAUUUUGGACAAUGGGCGCAAGCCUGAUCCAGCCAUUCCGCGUGCAGGAUGAAGGCCCUCGGGUUGUAAACUGCUUUUGUACGGAACGAAAAGGCUCUGGUUAAUACCUGGGGCUCAUGACGGUACCGUAAGAAUAAGCACCGGCUAACUACGUGCCAGCAGCCGCGGUAAUACGUAGGGUGCAAGCGUUAAUCGGAAUUACUGGGCGUAAAGCGUGCGCAGGCGGUGAUGUAAGACAGGUGUGAAAUCCCCGGGCUUAACCUGGGAACUGCAUUUGUGACUGCAUCGCUGGAGUGCGGCAGAGGGGGAUGGAAUUCCGCGUGUAGCAGUGAAAUGCGUAGAUAUGCGGAGGAACACCGAUGGCGAAGGCAAUCCCCUGGGCCUGCACUGACGCUCAUGCACGAAAGCGUGGGGAGCAAACAGG
rnacentral:rRNA from 2 species